GACGAAUGCUGGCUGCGUGCUUAACACAUGCAAGUCGAACGGUGAACAGGGGCUUGCCCCUGGGAUCAGUGGCGAACGGGUGAGUAACACGUGGGCAACCUGCCCCUCACUCUGGGAUAACUCCGGGAAACCGGGGCUAAUACCGGAUACGACCUGGUGCGACAUCGCACCGGGUGGAAAGAACUUCGGUGAGGGAUGGGCCCGCGGCCUAUCAGCUAGUUGGUGAGGUAACGGCUCACCAAGGCGACGACGGGUAGCCGGCCUGGGAGGGCGACCGGGCACAGUGGGACGGAGACACGGCCCAGACUCCUACGGGAGGCAGCAGUGGGGAAUAUUGCGCAAUGGGCGAAAGCCUGACGCAGCGACGCAGCGUGAGGGGCGAAGGCCUUCGGGUUGUAAACCUCUUUCAGCGGGGACGAAGCGAAAGUGACGGUACCCGCAGAAGAAGCACCGGCUAACUACGUGCCAGCCGCCGCAGUAAUAC
rnacentral:rRNA from 1 species